rnacentral:rRNA from 1 species
CAACGACUCUCGGUAAUGGAUAUCUCGGCUCUCGCAUCGAUGAAGAACGUAGCGAAAUGCGAUACUUGGUGUGAAUUGCAGAAUCCCGUGAACCAUCGAGUCUUUGAACGCAAGUUGCGCCCGAAGCCGUCAGGCCGAGGGCACGUCUGCCUGGGCGUCACGC